GAAACGACUGCUAAUACCGGAUGUGCCUACGGGUGAAAGAUUUAUUGCCAGAAGAUGAGCUCGCGUCUGAUUAGCUAGUUGGUGGGGUAAAAGCCUACCAAGGCGACGAUCAGUAGCUGGUCUGAGAGGAUGAGCAGCCACACUGGGACUGAGACACGGCCCAGACUCCUACGGGAGGCAGCAGUGGGGAAUUUUCCGCAAUGGGCGAAAGCCUGACGGAGCAAGACCGCGUGAGGGAGGAAGGCCUUUGGGUUGUAAACCUCUUUUGUCAGGGAAGAACACAAUGACGGUACCUGACGAAUCAGCCUCGGCUAACUCCGUGCCAGCAGCCGCGGUAAUACGGAGGAGGCAAGCGUUAUCCGGAAUCAUUGGGCGUAAAGCGUCCGUAGGUGGCGAAGUAAGUCUGCUGUCAAAGACCACAGCUUAACUGUGGAAAGGCAGUGGAAACUGCAGCGCUAGAGUGCGGUAGGGGUAGAGGGAAUUCCAGGUGUAGCGGUGAAAUGCGUAGAGCUCUGGAAGAACACCGGUGGCGAAAGCGCUCUACUGGGCCGAAACUGACACUGAGGGACGAAAGCUAGGGGAGCGAAAGGGAUUAGAUACCCCUGUAGUCCUAGCCGUAAACGAUGGA
rnacentral:rRNA from 1 species